rnacentral:rRNA from 1 species
AUCACGCCGCGUGAGGGAUGAAGGCCUCUGGGCUGUAAACCUCUUUUAUUAAGGAAGAAGAUCUGACGGUACUUGAUGAAUAAGCCACGGCUAAUUCCGUGCCAGCAGCCGCGGUAAUACGGGAGUGGCAAGCGUUAUCCGGAAUUAUUGGGCGUAAAGCGUCCGCAGGCGGUCUUUUAAGUCUGUCGUCAAAGCGUGGAGCUUAACUCCAUUUCUGCGAUGGAAACUGGAAGACUAGAGUGUGGUAGGGGCAGAGGGAAUUCCCGGUGUAGCGGUGAAAUGCGUAGAUAUCGGGAAGAACACCAGUGGCGAAGGCGCUCUGCUGGGCCAUAACUGACGCUCAUGGACGAAAGCCAGGGGAGCGAAAGGGAUUAGAUACCCCUGUAGUCCUGGCCGUAAACGAUGAACACUAGGUGUCGGGGGAAUCGACCCCCUCGGUGUCGUAGCCAACGCGUUAAGUGUUCCGCCUGGGGAGUACGCACGCAAGUGUGAAACUCAAAGGAAUUGACGGGGGCCCGCACAAGCGGUGGAGUAUGUGGUUUAAUUCGAUGCAACGCGAAGAACCUUACCAGGGUUUGACAUCCUGCGAAUCUCUUGGAAACGAGAGAGUGCCUUC